rnacentral:tmRNA from 1 species
GGGGCUGAUCGGUUUCGACGUUGGGAACGGAAGCUGCGGUGUGCGACCAGAGUUGCUCAGACUCUUUAAACGGGGCAACCAAAAGAGACGCCGAUAGCGAUCUCGCUCUCGCCGCCUGAUUUAUCAGUAGGUAGUAGAGAAAUUGCGGCCAGCAAUGGUGUCGCGGGGCCAGUCCACUACAGCCCGGCAACAGAAGUAGUGGAGGACAGCAGGGAGAGACCGCUGACGGUGGGAAAGACCACUGACCGCUCGGAAAGACGAGCCGGACGGCCCCGUUGCACUCGUGUGGCAGGGCCAGCUGAUCCGACAGCGUGGUAGCCGCGAUGCCACACCCUUGGGAAUGGUCGUAUCGCAUUCGGUAACCGCCUGGCGGACGAGGGUUCGAUUCCCUCCAGCUCCACGG